rnacentral:rRNA from 1 species
UACGAAGGGGGCUAGCGUUGCUCGGAAUCACUGGGCGUAAAGGGUGCGUAGGCGGGUCUUUAAGUCAGGGGUGAAAUCCUGGAGCUCAACUCCAGAACUGCCUUUGAUACUGAGGAUCUUGAGUUCGGGAGAGGUGAGGUGGAACUGCGAGUGUAGAGGUGAAAAUUCGUAGAUAUUCGCAAGAACACCAGUGGCGAAGGCGGCUCACUGGCCCGAGUACUGACGCUGAGGCACGAAAGCGUGGGGAAGCAAACGGGGA